UAAAUAGUUUGAUAUUCAAUUAUUUUUAUUUUUUAUAUGGUUUUAUCUAAUGUUUGAAUAUACAAAAAAAUGAAGUCUUCAGAUGGUCUUCAGAACAAUUUGGGUUGGCUGAAACUGCUUUAGUACUUAUGUGAAUUUCAAGAUAUAAUUUAUUUAAUUGCACAUAUGAAAAUAAAUAUAAUAUGAAAAUUAUCUACAUUAAUUCAAACUUUCAAGCAAAGUCUCUGCAUAUAAUUAAUUAAAAGAUUGCAAACCUUUCAGGCAAGAGAGAUAUUAGCAAAAUAUUUAUGGCUUCCUGCCCUUAUCUGUUUCUAAUCAAACAUAUGUUUAGAACAUAACAUAUAUAGUUUGAAUACAAAUUCCAAAAGCAUAGGAACAUGUUUAAAAAAAAAUGAUAAUACUAAAAUAUAAAAAAAUCAAAAUGUUUAUUAAUUAUUUAAACAUACAACUAUUGAUAGAAAGAGAAAAAUAUAAUACCAAAUUGUCUAAGGAGGGAAAAAAUAUAUAUACUGUUUUAAUACCCAAUUGGUCAAAGAAAUAUGCUAAUUAUAAACAAAUCCAGAAUAAGAGCAUUUCUAGGAAGAAUAAAGUCCCAUUGCAGCACAAGAGCUAAAGAAAAGGAACUAAAAUGGAUAACUAAGCAAGCUCAAGAACAUGGGCAUAACAAAAAUUGAGAGCUGAGACUUGAAGAAUGAAUCCAAAAGGAAAAGUUAUAGAUGUGUUAAAUAUACCAAGCUGUUGUUUAAUAUGAAGAAAAUCAUUAAGAAAUUAGUAGGUAUAAGCUUAAUCUAUGCAAGCUAUAAUACAAUUUUUAAUUCAGUUAAAAAUGAUAGACCAGUUUGGAAUUGGAAAGGUAUAGGGUCUUAUGGAAGAAUGAGGAUUUGGCUAUGGAAAAUAUAUAGAUUGUGAACAAGUAGAGGAUUAGAGAUAAUGGAGGAGCAUAAGAAUGAUAACAAACCAUGACCAAGCCUUAAUACAGCCAAUGUAAACAAUUUAGUAUAAAGUAGGGUACUUUGUAACUCAAUCUCUCUCUAUACUAAACUCGAGCACAAAGCCUACUAUAUUUUUUAUGUGGCAUUGACCAAUCUGCAUUAUGAAUUGAUCAUGAUGCACUACCAAUGCC
rnacentral:lncRNA from 1 species